GGCAAGUUUCUGCAGUAAAGGAAGAGGCGCACUGGAGAUAUUAGAAGGCAGGCAACAUUGACUUCUCUAUCCAGUGCUGACGCCCCCUUCACAUUUCCCGAGGUGAGGUUCUUUUGGGUCUGGUAGCCCCGCUGGCCUAGAGGUCAACAUUGACACUGUUUACACUCGGAAUACAGCGAAGGGACUGGCAGGAAAACCACUGAGAAACAUUAAUGAUGCAAGGCUGGUAUUGCAGAAGAAAACUAAGGCUGUGAUCUGCAAAAAUCUAACAUGGAACUCGAUCUCAGCCAGGUUUCGAAAACCUGGGUAUUCUCUUUUUCGAAGUUGAAAGCAACUUUUUAGGAGAGAGAAGCCUUAACAGGAGUUUGUGUCCUCUCUGCAAGGCUGGGUGAUGGGCAGCUGAAAAAGCGUCGAGGCUCAAGAUGAAUGAAAUAAGAACUUCAAGUUCAGUCCUUAAAUCCUAUUUGAACCUGAGGUCCUUGCUAAGGCUGUUGGGUAAGAUCGCUAAGUGCCCAUACUCCCACCUCUCUCUCCCUGUACUCAGAA
rnacentral:lncRNA from 1 species